rnacentral:tRNA from 1 species
GCGCCGCUAGCUCAGUUGGUUAGAGCAGCUGACUCUUAAUCAGCGGGUCCGGG